rnacentral:rRNA from 1 species
GCAUGGCCCUGCGGCCAAAGGGAGCGAUUCCGGCAACGGAUGGGCAUGCGUGACAUUAGCUAGUUGGCGGGGCAACGGCCCACCAAGGCGACGAUGUCUAGGGGUUCUGAGAGGAAGGUCCCCCACACUGGUACUGAAACACGGACCAGACUCCUACGGGAGGCAGCAGUGAGGAAUAUUGGUCAAUGGGCGCGAGCCUGAACCAGCCAAGUCGCGUGAGGGAUGACGGCCCUACGGGUUGUAAACCUCUUUUGUCGGGGAGCAAAUUCCGCCACGUGUGGCGGAGUCGAGAGUACCCGAAGAAAAAGCAUCGGCUAACUCCGUGCCAGCAGCCGCGGUAAUACGGAGGAUGCGAGCGUUAUCCGGAUUUAUUGGGUUUAAAGGGUGCGUAGGCGGACUGUCAAGUCAGCGGUAAAAUACGGGGGCUCAACCUCCGCCCGCCGUUGAAACUGACGGUCUUGAGUGGGCGAGAAGUAUGCGGAAUGCGUGGUGUAGCGGUGAAAUGCAUAGAUAUCACGCAGAACUCCGAUUGCGAAGGCAGCAUACCGGCGCCCGACUGACGCUGAAGCACGAAAGCGUGGGUAUCGAACAGGAUUAGAUACCCUGGUAGUCCACGCAGUAAACGAU